GGCUCCUGGGAGUGGGUGCACCUUGCCUAACCCCCUCGGUGGGCUUACCCUCAAGAGAAACCGGCACACUGUCUCCAUGGACCACACCACCAGCUUCUGUAGGAUCGCCGGCUAGGCAAGCAAGAUAAACCCUUUGGCUGCCGAGCAGACAGAUACCACCAGAAUGCUUGACAGCCUUGGGUACCCUCCCCCCUGGAAGGAGAAGGACCUGGUUCCAGGAGAACUUCCAGCCUAAUUCUCUGGCCCCAUGCGGAAUGAAUUCAGGAAGGAUCUUGUGGAAGAGAAGGCUGAAGAUGGAAGACAGGUCAGAGUUCAUUGGGGGAACAAGCUAAGGAGGGGAUUGUAGUGGAGGACGCAGCAUGUCCCAAGGUCCUGAGGCAGACUGGAGAGUAUUGAUUUUAAGAGACAGGACAUGAACUACUAAGACAGGAAAGCAAGGAACCUGCUUGGGACAGGGCUCUGUCUUGUCUGACCCUUCUAGAUUUGGGGCUCAAUUUCUGCCCCACUUUCCCCCCUCCCUGAGUCCCAGCUCAUCCCUUCAGCUUGAAGACCCUUAGACACGGCCAAGAAGCAAAGAGUUGUGCAAGAAAAAUAAACUCUUUUGGAGGAC